AAUAAAUCUGUCAAAAAUCACACAAAUUGAAAAUGUCACAAUUUAAAGUCUACGAAAUAUUAAGCGACGACGAUAAAAAUCAAAUAACCGAUCACUGGAACCGAUUUGUUGUUCCAAACUUUCAUAAAUACUGUAACAUCUUCUACGCGCGACUCAAGCAGCACUUUCCCGCACAUCUGUUAUUUUUCGGCGAUGAACACGAUGAACACGAACAAAACCAGAAGAUAUCAAGAAUCCCAAUGUUAUUUUGAAACAAAUUGAAUUUGUUGGACAAUCACAUCCUCGAAUCGCAGAUUCCGAAUUUAGUAAAAUGCGCGUCACCCUGCUCGAUAUGCUAGAAGAACUUUACGAUGCGCGCAGUUUUCGCAAAGACCUUGCUGAUUCUUGGGAGAAAUUUUUACGCAUUUUAUUUUAUGCAAUAAGCGAACGCACAUCUGAUCCCAAUGCACAUCCAGAUCAAUAAAAUUAAUAAAAUUCAUGUUCUUGUA